rnacentral:rRNA from 1 species
CCUACGGGAGGCAGCAGUGGGGAAUAUUGCACAAUGGGCGAAAGCCUGAUGCAGCAACGCCGCGUGAGCGAUGAAGGCCUUCGGGUCGUAAAGCUCUGUUCUCAAGGAAGAUAAUGACGGUACUUGAGGAGGAAGCCCCGGCUAACUACGUGCCAGCAGCCGUGGUAAUACGUGGGGGGCUAGCGUUAUCCGGAAUUACUGGGCGUAAUGGGGGCGUAGGUGGUUUCUUAAGUCAGAGGUGAAAGGCUAGGGCUCAACCGUAGUAAGCCUUUGAAACUGGGGAACUUGAGUGCAGGAGAGGUAGGUGGAAUUCCUGGUGUAGCGGUGAAAUGCGUAGAUAUUACGAAGAACACCGGUUGCGAAGGCAGCUCUCUGAACUGUAACUGACACUGAGGCACGAAAGCGUGGGGAGCAAACAGGAUUAGAUACCCGUGUAGUC